AACAGAGAAGUAAAAAUUUACAUUUAGUUUCGACCUAAACCCUUAAGGAUAAACCUUCAUGUUU
rnacentral:tRNA from 1 species